rnacentral:rRNA from 1 species
CCCCCGCUCAGAUUGAACGCUGGCGGCAGGCUUAACACAUGCAAGUCGAGCGGAAACGAUGAUAGCUUGCUAUCAGGCGUCGAGCGGCGGACGGGUGAGUAAUACUUAGGAAUCUACCUAGUAGUGGGGGAUAGCACGGGGAAACUCGUAUUAAUACCGCAUACGACCUACGGGAGAAAGGGGGCAGUUUACUGCUCUCGCUAUUAGAUGAGCCUAAGUCGGAUUAGCUAGAUGGUGGGGUAAAGGCCUACCAUGGCGACGAUCUGUAGCUGGUCUGAGAGGAUGAUCAGCCACACCGGGACUGAGACACGGCCCGGACUCCUACGGGAGGCAGCAGUGGGGAAUAUUGGACAAUGGGGGAAACCCUGAUCCAGCCAUGCCGCGUGUGUGAAGAAGGCCUUUUGGUUGUAAAGCACUUUAAGCAGUGAAGAAGACUCCGUGGUUAAUACCCACGGACGAUGACAUUAGCUGCAGAAUAAGCACCGGCUAACUCUGUGCCAGCAGCCGCGGUAAUACAGAGGGUGCAAGCGUUAAUCGGAAUUACUGGGCGUAAAGGGAGCGUAGGUGGCUCGAUAAGUCAGAUGUGAAAUCCCCGGGCUCAACCUGGGAACUGCAUCUGAUACUGUUGAGCUAGAGUAUGUGAGAGGAAGGUAGAAUUCCAGGUGUAGCGGUGAAAUGCGUAGAGAUCUGGAGGAAUACCGAUGGCGAAGGCAGCCUUCUGGCAUAAUACUGACACUGAGGCUCGAAAGCGUGGGUAGCAAACAGGAUUAGAUACCCUGGUAGUCCACGCCGUAAACGAUGUCUACUAGUCGUUGGGUCCCUUGAGGACUUAGUGACGCAGCUAACGCAAUAAGUAGACCGCCUGGGGAGUACGGCCGCAAGGUUAAAACUCAAAUGAAUUGACGGGGGCCCGCACAAGCGGUGGAGCAUGUGGUUUAAUUCGAUGCAACGCGAAGAACCUUACCUGGUCUUGACAUAUCUAGAAUCCUGCAGAGAUGCGGGAGUGCCUUCGGGAAUUAGAAUACAGGUGCUGCAUGGCUGUCGUCAGCUCGUGUCGUGAGAUGUUGGGUUAAGUCCCGCAACGAGCGCAACCCUUGUCCUUAGUUACCAGCGGGUUAAGCCGGGAACUCUAAGGAUACUGCCAGUGACAAACUGGAGGAAGGCGGGGACGACGUCAAGUCAUCAUGGCCCUUACGACCAGGGCUACACACGUGCUACAAUGGUAGGUACAGAGGGCAGCUACACAGCGAUGUGAUGCGAAUCUCAAAAAGCCUAUCGUAGUCCAGAUUGGAGUCUGCAACUCGACUCCAUGAAGUAGGAAUCGCUAGUAAUCGCGGAUCAGAAUGCCGCGGUGAAUACGUUCCCGGGCCUUGUACACACCGCCCGUCACACCAUGGGAGUUGAUUGCACCAGAAGUGGAUAGCUUAACCUUCGGGGAGGCGUUCACCACGGUGUGGUUGAUGACUGGGGUGAAGUCGUAACAAGGUAGCCGUAGGGGAACCUG